rnacentral:rRNA from 1 species
GUAGGUGGCAAGCGUUGUCCGGAAUUAUUGGGCGUAAAGCGCGCGCAGGCGGUUCUUUAAGUCUGAUGUGAAAGCCCACGGCUCAACCGUGGAGGGUCAUUGGAAACUGGAGAACUUGAGUACAGAAGAGGAAAGCGGAAUUCCACGUGUAGCGGUGAAAUGCGUAGAGAUGUGGAGGAACACCAGUGGCGAAGGCGGCUUUCUGGUCUGUAACUGACGCUGAGGCGCGAAAGCGUGGGGAGCAAACAGGAUUAGAUACCCUGGUAGUCCACGCCGUAAACGAUGAGUGCUAAGUGUUAGGGGGGUUUUACCGCCCCCCUUAGUGCUGCAGCUAACGCAUUAAGCACUCCGCCUGGGAUACGGCCGCAAGGCUG